CAAUAGCGUAUAUUAACGUUGUUGCAGUUAAAAAGCUCGUAGUUGGAUUUCUGGAGGGAGCGUCGGCCCGUAUUUACGAGUGCGUGACGUCUCUGUCCAUCCUUGCGGGAAGGCACGGCAUUGAUUUGUUGUGUCGGAUCGCAUCAUUUACUGUGAAAAAUUAGAGUGUUCAAAGCAGGCUUUCGCUUGAAUACAUUAGCAUGGAAUAAUAAGAUAGGACUUUGGUGCUAUUUUGUUGGUUGAGCCUAAAGUAAUGAUUAAUAGGGAUAGUUGGGGGCACCUGUAUUGCGUUGUCAGAGGUGAAAUUCUUGGAUUUACGCAAGACAAACAGCUGCGAANGNGUCUGCNAAGGAUGUUUNCAUUA
rnacentral:rRNA from 1 species